ACCUAUAACUGUUGCUUCGGCGGGUAGGGUCUCCGUGACCCUCCCGGCCUCCCGCCCCCGGGCGGGUCGGCGCCCGCCGGAGGAUAACCAAACUCUGAUUUAACGACGUUUCUUCUGAGUGGUACAAGCAAAUAAUCAAAACUUUUAACAACGGAUCUCUUGGUUCUGGCAUCGAUGAAGAACGCAGCGAAAUGCGAUAAGUAAUGUGAAUUGCAGAAUUCAGUGAAUCAUCGAAUCUUUGAACGCACAUUGCGCCCGCCAGCAUUCUGGCGGGCAUGCCUGUUCGAGCGUCAUUUCAACCCUCAAGCUCUGCUUGGUGUUGGGGCCCUACAGCUGAUGUAGGCCCUCAAAGGUAGUGGCGGACCCUCCCGGAGCCUCCUUUGCGUAGUAACUUUACGUCUCGCACUGGGAUCCGGAGGGACUCUUGCCGUAAAACCCCCAA
rnacentral:rRNA from 1 species